CGGACGGGUGAGUAACGCGUAGGAAUCUACCCGGUAGUGGGGGACAACUUGUGGAAACGCAAGCUAAUACCGCAUACGCCCUAUGGGGGAAAGCGGGGGAUCUUCGGACCUCGCGCUAUCGGAUGAGCCUGCGUAGGAUUAGCUAGUUGGUGAGGUAAAGGCUCACCAAGGCGACGAUCCUUAGCUGGUCUGAGAGGAUGAUCAGCCACACUGGAACUGAGACACGGUCCAG
rnacentral:rRNA from 1 species